GUCCACGCCGUAAACGAUGUCAACUAGCCGUUGGAAUCCUUGAGAUUUAGUGGCGCAGCUAACGCAUUAAGUUGACCGCCUGGGGAGUACGGCCGCAAGGUUAAACUCAAAUGAAUUGACGGGGCCCGCACAAGCGGUGGAGCAUGUGGUUUAAUUCGAAGCAACGCGAAGAACCUUACCAGGCCUUGACAUGCAGAGAACUUUCCAGAGAUGGAUUGGUGCCUUCGGGAACUCUGACACAGGUGCUGCAUGGCUGUCGU
rnacentral:rRNA from 1 species